AUUUGACAAAAUAAAACCUACAUGUUCCUUUUUACAUGUUGUGAUGUGUAAAGUCACAGCGUGUACAAAUAACAGGGUCACAUGAGACACAGCCAUCAUCUAACCGUA